AUGGAGCUUGCACGGGCAAACACUGAACAACGCAAUUCCAACUAUAUAUUACUCUUGCAUUACAUUGAGCACCUUCUACAGUCUACAAGGGCGGUGAGGUGCACAGAGAAAUGGCUUACCCCAGACGAGGAGGUGAGGAAGAACAUAUGGCCGUUGCUGCAUGUCAAUCAUGUCUUCAAUGUUUGGUGCACGCUCUUCUUGCCUUCAUUGUUGCAGACCUGCAGCACAACCUCCAUGGCGGGCAUGUCCUGUGACCAGCUAGAAAUGUAUUCAAACACAAUAAAUAUGUACGAGAAACCUUAA
rnacentral:rRNA from 1 species